AGGCAACCUUAUAGCCCUGUGGGAGCUGAGCCGGUCAGAUCUGAUGAGCGUUCUGUUACCCGACAGCCUGGUACUUGAAGUCUGGCAAGCUCCGCCCACACCUCCACCUGAGCCCAGGCUGUUGGAGGAGGGGCUGGCAUGCAGAAGAGCAACCAAAGAAAACGGAGACACCAAACUCCACACAGCAAGCUGCCGUUCCCUAUGAAAAUGCUGUACGGUGAGUAUAACACAGGUGGGGAUUCUACGCACCUUUCAUGCAAUAUCUCAUUUAAUCAUCCCAACAACAAUGGAGAUGGGACCCUUAUUAAAACCCAAAUUGAAUAGAGAUGAAGACUGAGGCACAGAGAAGUUAAAUUACUGGCACAACAUCACGUGGCUGGUAAAUUAAGGAGACCAAAGCAGUGCUCAUCGAAUUCCAGACCUAUCAGAAGUUCAAGAGAUUGAGAAAUGAUCUCACGAUGGAUUUUAAAUGGCCAUUAUCUGGAGAUGAAGAGCAGUGUAAAGAUUAAGAAGUGUUUGGAGCAUAAAAAUCUGAAUUCAAACCCUAACUAUGCCACUUACUGCUAUUGAUCAGAGUGGCAUUCAUAACUUCGCAGUCAAAAUACAUGAUGUCAUCAUCUUUUCAAAGCACACUGAAGGCUCCAAUCUUUUUGGAGAUUGUCUACGUGAUGCCUCAGUAUUACAGCUCUUACUGAUUUUUUUCAGUGUUUUUUCUUAUCACUUCUUCAGUCCUCAAUUUUGUAACAAAAUUGGCUUUUCUUAUGCUUCAGCAAGCAAAAUGCAAAAUUCUGAAAAGCUCUUCUGUGACUUGGUGGGAGAAUAGUGUUGCUUAAACCACUGGGACCGCAGUGGUUCAGACGAUCAUACUGCUCCACCGCCUGCGGAAACACGCAUGCAGGUGACAUCACCUCUUGCGAAGUGACAGCAGGACAUGCACAGCACGCAGGCACUUAA